rnacentral:rRNA from 1 species
UACGGAGGGUGCAAGCGUUAAUCGGAAUUACUGGGCGUAAAGCGCACGCAGGCGGUCUGUCAAGUCGGAUGUGAAAUCCCCGGGCUCAACCUGGGAACUGCAUUCGAAACUGGCAGGCUAGAGUCUUGUAGAGGGGGGUAGAAUUCCAGGUGUAGCGGUGAAAUGCGUAGAGAUCUGGAGGAAUACCGGUGGCGAAGGCGGCCCCCUGGACAAAGACUGACGCUCAUGCACGAAAGCGUGGGGAGCAAACAGG